rnacentral:rRNA from 1 species
AUUGAACGCUGGCGGCAUGCCUUACACAUGCAAGUCGAACGGUAACAGAUCUUCGGAUGCUGACGAGUGGCGAACGGGUGAGUAAUACAUCGGAACGUGCCUAGUAGUGGGGGAUAACUACCCGAAAGAGUGGCUAAUACCGCAUGAGAUCUACGGAUGAAAGCAGGGGAUCGCAAGACCUUGUGCUACUAGAGCGGCCGAUGGCAGAUUAGGUAGUUGGUGGGAUAAAAGCUUACCAAGCCGACGAUCUGUAGCUGGUCUGAGAGGACGAUCAGCCACACUGGGACUGCGACACGGCCCAGGCUCCUACGGGAGGCAGCAGUGGGGAAUUUUGGACAAUGGGCGCAAGCCUGAUCCAGCAAUGCCGCAUGCAGGAUGAAGGCCUUCGGGUUGUAAACUGCUUUUGUACGGAACGAAAAGCCCUGGGUUAAUACCCUGGGGUCAUGACGGUACCGUAAGAAUAAGCACCGGCUAACUACGUGCCAGCAGCCGCGGUAACAC